rnacentral:rRNA from 1 species
AAGAUUAAGCCAUGCAUGUAUAAGUAUAAACGACUUGAUCGUGAAACCGCGAACGGCUCAUUAUAACAGCUAUAAUUUACUUGAUCUUGACAACCUACUUGGAUAACUGUGGUAAUUCUAGAGCUAAUACAUGCACCAAAGCUCCGACCGUAAGGGAAGAGCGCAUUUAUUAGAACAAAACCAAGCGGCUUCGGCCGUCCAGUGUUGACUCAGAAUAACUAAGCUGAUCGCAUGGUCUUGUACCGGCGACGUGUCUUUCAAGUAUCUGCCUUAUCAACUUUCGAUGGUAGUGUAUCUGACUACCAUGGUGAUGACGGGUAACGGAGGAUAAGGGUUCGACUCCGGAGAAGGGGCCUGAGAAAUGGCCACUACGUCUAAGGAUGGCAGCAGGCGCGCAAAUUACCCACUCUCAGAACGAGGAGGUAGUGACGAGAAAUAACGAGACCGUUCUCUUAAGAGGCCGGUCAUCGGAAUGGGUACAAUUUAAACCCUUUAACGAGUAUCUAUGAGAGGGCAAGUCUGGUGCCAGCAGCCGCGGUAAUUCCAGCUCUCAAAAUGCAUAGAAUUAUUGCUGCGGUUAAAAAGCUCGUAGUUGGAUCUGUGCUGGCCUCCCGGUCCACCUUCGGGUGCGCACUGGUGAGGUUGGCUUUCCUGCCCGUCUUUCGGCCGGUGCCCUUCACCGGGUGCUGGUCGUAACGGGCAAGUUUACUUUGAACAAAUCAGAGUGCUCAAAACAGGCGUUUCGCUUGAAUGUUCGUGCAUGGAAUAAUAGAAGAGGAUUUCGGUUCUAUUUUAUUGGUUUUAUAGACUGAGAUAAUGGUUAACAGAGACAAACGGGGGCAUUCGUAUUGCUACGUGAGAGGUGAA